rnacentral:lncRNA from 1 species
ACUAGUGUACUGCAGCUGGGCAGGCACACUCCUCGCAGACCCGGCGCUCUCCAAGGAGAAAAGAAAGUUAGUGGGCUUGGGGUACGUUUCCCUUCUUUUCCUAGAAGAGGGUGGCAGGGGGGCUGGCUCAGAAAGAAACCAUCACUGACCAACACUUGGGGUACUCUGUCAAAAUGCUGCUCCUUCCAUACUGAGUCUCUUUGCUCCUCCUCUUUCCCCCAGUCAACCUGGGGUUAAGUGGGAAGGGGAGUAAGGCAACUCCAGGGGAUGCCUUCCAAACUCCGGGAGAGGGAAAGCACAGGAAUUGGGAGAAGACGUGAAGGCAGAGCUUGAACUCCUAUGUACCCGGUGACACAAGACUGCUCUGAGGGUGGCGCCCGCUGCUUCUCCCGGGCGCCCCGCCAGCCGCUCUCCCUGGCAGUGGCGCCCUUUCCUCGCCCUCUGCCCGCCCAAGAGCUGCUGGCCCAGAGCAGCCGCAUUCCCGACCCUCCAAGGCGAAGAUCCCCUGGAUUCACCCCCUCACUGGCCUUUCCGCCUAACUGACUGAAACCCGGCUCCCCAGGCACAGAUUUUCCAGCCUCCCUAAGAAAUGAAAGGUUCGCGUGCCCUUCACCUCCCUCCCUGCUUUCCAGCGUCCUCAGCGCCUCCCCGAACAGCCAGACAGUGGAGCGCCCCGUGUUGGGGAGAGGAGGGGAGCAGACGCCUCCGAAGUUUGGAAAAGUUACACAGGGGCUGGGGACUGGGGGUAGGGGGUGCCGACCGGGAGAAGGGGAGGGUCACCUGUUGAGGGAGGGAGGGAAAGUUUGCCUGGCCCCGCCUCCUCCUCGGGGCACCCCGCUCCCAGCCGCGCCGCGCCUCCCCACCUGGCCCGCGCUCACCUUGAGGCCGCGGAUCUCGCCGAGGUGCAGCUGCAGGCGGCGGUUCACCUCGCGGAUGAGGUUGCUGUGGUCCAGCAUCGCGCUCACCUUCUCCGCCUCGGCGCGCCGCAGGCUGCGGAUCAGCUCCUCCUUGCUCCACUGCAGCAGCUCCUCGUCCGACACUUUGGACAGGUCCUCCACCGGCGCGGGCGGGGCCGCGGACGAGCCGGCCGGGGCUGGGGAACAACUUUCCGCCGCCGCCGCAGCCGCCGCCGCGCCUCCGGCCGCCUUCGACAUGGUACUAUGGCAGAAAUGGCCAGGGAAGGGUUUAUCUAACCACCAGGAGUACGCAAAGAAGAGAGGUCCAGCCAGCCUGCCUCUCAGAUUGUUAAGAUGCCAGGUGUCUUUUGGCUCAUGGAAACAGCUGUUCUGCCCCCUCCCGAACCCUAGACUCACAGCUACACUCUAUGGGGAAAGGACAAAGGGAAGGCUGCUUCCUGAAGAGAUCUCCAUAUGGAAGAGCUGCAGAUCACAAACAACCCACACAGCCAUUGUAACGCCUGCUUGCCUGGUCACUUGUGUUUCUGAGAAGCCAUAACUCCAAGAAUAGCGAAGGGAAGAAAAUGCCAAAAAGCAGGGGCUGCCUAACAGGUCUGACUUGCAAGGCAAACUCCUGGCAGGCCUGGCCAGCUUCUGCUUGUCCCAGUGCAAUCCCACCCCCAUAGGAUCUGGAAUUUUUCAGUCCCUUUGCUAAGAUUCCUGAAAUAGACUUAAUGAAGAGCCUCAGAAGUGAAAAUUCCUCUUCACACAUUUGCUCAAGAAGAUUGCUUUUCUCCUAACACAGAAAUCAGCUGCCUUGAGGAUGUGCAAGUUUGAUUAGGGAGUCUGCUCUUGCCUAUUUCUCAAACGGUUCAGGCCCUGACAGAAUCAGUGUCACCCCUAAGAAUGAAACCUUCCAAGGGGCCAUGAUCAUAUUGUGACUGGACAAGAACUAUCAUGGAUGAGGCACAUCAUCUUUUGGAACCAUCUAUGGAACAGAUAUUAUUAUUCCAUUUUGCGGAAGAGGAAUCUGAGGCUCAGGCCAGACAGAUGCAGCUAACGUUGAGUGGCAUCCUGAUGAUCACCUUCAUCACAAAAGGAAGGAGUGCUCUGAGGACUGUAGGUGGCUCUCAGAACCCUGACCUCCACGGCAGCCAUCAAGGAGUGGCAAAGGGGGUCCACAGUGGCAUAUGCAGUGAGAUCCAAGUUUUAGGCAUUCGGAGUAGAGCAAGCCACGAAUGAGAACAGGUUCUGAAAGUGACAGAAAAGGAGUCACUUUUUUGGUUCCAUAUGAACUUUAAGGUAGUUUUUUCCCAGUUCUGUGAAGAAAGUCAUUGGUAGCUUGAUGGGGAUGGCAUUGAAUCUAUAAAUUACCUUGGACAGUAUGGCCAUUUUCAUGAUAUUGAUUCUUCCUACCCAUGAGCAUGGAAUGUUCUUCCAUUUGUUUGUAUCCUCUUUUAUUUCCUUGAGCAGUGGUUUGUAGUUAUCCUUGAAGAGGUUCUUCACAUCCCUUGUAAGUUGGAUUCCUAGGUAUUUUAUUCUCUUUGAAGCAAUUGUGAAUGGGAGUUCACUCAUGAUUUGGCUCUCUGUUUGUCUGUUGUUAGUGUAUAAGAAUGCUUGUGAUUUUUGUACAUUGAUUUUGUAUCCUGAGACUUUGCUGAAGUUGCUUAUCAGCUUAAGGAGAUUUUGGGCUGAGACAAUGGGGUUUUCUAGAUAUACAAUCAUGUCAUCUGCAAACAGGGACAAUUUGACUUCCUCUUUUCCUAAUUGAAUACCCUUUAUUUCCUUGUCCUGCCUAAUUGCCCUGGCCAGAACUUCCAACACUAUGUUGAAUAGGAGUGGUGAAAGAGGACAUCCCUGUCUUGUGCCAGUUUUCACAGGGAAUGCUUCCAGUUUUUGCCCAUUCAGUAUGAUAUUGGCUGUGGGUUUGUCAUAGAUAGCUCUUAUUAUUUUGACAUACGUCCCAUCAAUACCUAAUUUAUUGAGAGUUUUUAGCAUGAAGCGUUGUUGAAUUUUGUCAAAGGCCUUUUCUGCAUCUAUUGAGAUAAUCAUGUGGUUUUUGUCUUUGGUUCUGUUUAUAUGCUGGAUUACAUUUAUUGAUUUGUGUAUAUUGAACCAGCCUUGCAUCCCAGGGAUGAAGCCCACUUGAUCAUGGUGGAUAAGCUUUUUGAUGUGCUGCUGGAUUCGGUUUGCCAGUAUUUUAUUGAGGAUUUUUGCAUCAAUGUUCAUCAGGGAUAUUGGUCGAAAAUUCUCUUUUUUGGUUGUAUCUCUGCCCGGCUUUGGUAUCAGGAUGAUGCUGGCCUCAUAAAAUGAGUUAGGGAGUAUUCCCUCUUUUUCUAUUGAUUGGAAUAUCACCAAGUCCAUCCUAAGCCAAAAGAACAAAGCUGGAGGCAUCACACUACCUGACUUCAAACUAUACUACAAGGCUACAGUAACCAAAACAGCAUGGUACUGGUACCAAAACAGAGAUAUAGAUCAAUGGAACAGAACAGAGCCCUCAGAAAUAACACCGCAUAUCUACAAUUAUCUGAUCUUUGACAAACCUGACAAAAACAAGCAAUGGGGAAAGGAUUCCCUAUUUAAUAAAUGGUGCUGGGAAAACUGGCUAGCCAUAUGUAGAA